GCAAGUCGAACGCGAUUUUCUCGGUUAGCAAUAACUGAGGAAAUUGAGCGGUGAAUGGGUGCGUAACACGUGGGAAUUUAUCCGGAAGUGGGGGAUAGCUCGUCGAAAGGCGAAUUAAUACCGCAUAUGCCUGUAAGGGCAAAGUGGGGGACCGCAAGGCCUCACGCUAUCGGAGGAGCCCGCGCCCUAUCAGCUAGUUGGUGAGGUAAUGGCUCACCAAGGCUUAGACGGGUAGCUGGUCUGAGAGGACGACCAGCCACACUGGAACUGAGACACGGUCCAGACACCUACGGGUGGCAGCAGUCGAGGAUUUUUCUCAAUGGGGGCAACCCUGAAGGAGCGACGCCGCGUGGAGGAUGAAGGGCUUCGGCUCGUAAACUCCUGUCACCGACGAACAAGACAUCCGGAUUAAUAACUCGGAUGUUUGAUGGUAGUCGGAGAGGAAGGGGCGGCUAACUCUGUGCCAGCAGCCGCGGUGAUACAGAGGCCCCAAGCGUUGUUCGGAUUUACUGGGCGUAAAGGGUGUGUAGGGGGUUAGGUUAGUCUGACGUGAAAUACCGUUGCUCAACAACGGAACUGCGUCGGAUACUGCCUAGCUAGAGGUUCGGAGAUGAGGGCGGAAUUCUCGGUGUAGCGGUGAAAUGCGUAGAUAUCGAGAGGAACGCCGAUGGCGAAAGCAGCCCUCAAGACGAAAUCUGACCCUGAAACACGAAGGCCAGGGGAGCAAACGGGAUUAGAUACCCCGGUAGUCCUGGCAGUAAACGGUGCUCAUUAGAUGUAGGCGGAUUCGACCCCGCCUGUGUCGAACCUAACGGAUUAAAUGAGCCGCCUGGGAAGUACGGUCGCAAGAUUAAAACUCAAAGAAAUUGACGGGGGCCCGCACAAGCGGUGGAGUAUGUGGCUUAAUUCGAU
rnacentral:rRNA from 1 species